AAUCCUCUCUGUUACACCUCUGGCUAUACUCAUAGCAUUUCAACACCUCUCUGUCUCCAGGCUUCCUUCUGCCCUGCCCAUGAUGUUCUGCUAUUGCCAUUUUACAGGAGAAGGCACAAUCAGUGAGUGGAUCUCUUGACCUGGCAAGAAAUUGAAGUCAGAAAGUUGCUGAAUCACACCACUGUGCAGAAUAUAUUCCUCAAAUGGCCUUUCUCUAAUGAUGGGGGGAAAAAAAGCACAAAAGGAAGCAGCAGCAAACCUGUAUUAAAAGUCAAACAAUGAACCAUAUUACGAGGAAAAGUAAUGGUGUUGGAAGAUGAAAUUCUGCUCAACUUCCAGACAAGCAAAUUUCCAUCCUGCAAUGUGCAGAGAAGCUGCUGAGAUGCUGGGACAGAGAGACCGGGGAAACACUAAGAAAUUCCUGACUCCCUGUAGGGCACAAAGUGUGAACACAAAGAUGAGGGAGAAGGAAGACAUAGGUUCCUCACUUAAGGUUUUAAACGCCUCUUGCUGAGGAAAAGAAGGUGGCCUGCUCCCUCUAUAGGCUUCCCUGGUUAUGGCUUUCACGAACCAGCCAUCCAGGGAAUCAGAGCUGAAUGCUUUUGAAGACUGUCAAAAACGCUGAAGUGAGAUGUAUUUUGCAUUUCUUUUACAUUUAGAGAUGUUAUUUGUGUGUGUACAUGUGUGUGAAUAUGCAUCUGUGCGUGUGUGCAUAUGCCCACACACAUUCUCUAACACCUAUGUACAUAGCUACUUUUCCUGCAAAAGUCACAUAUGGAGCUUUUUUAUGUUUAAUUUUAGUCUUUUUUAAGAACAAGUGUGUGAUCCUUUUGUGUGAACUUGCUGUUUGUCAAUGGUUUAUGACAACAACCUCCUGACUGCAUCUUGCCCUUAUUAGUGGAAGAAGACACCAUCUGAGCCAGCGGUUCCUUGAACUCAGGCAUUCUUCCUCCCCAGUGCCUUCUAUCCCAACUGCUUUUCUCUCCUCUCUGUCCCAGGACUUUGCCUCCUCAGUUGCACCAGCACUGCAAUUUCAGGCAUCAUUCUGGUAAGAAAAGCAACCUAGUCUGUAUUAAGGACAACUCUGUAAACAAAAAGCCUAUUUGUAAUUUGGAUCAGCUCAGUGACCUGAUUUACAGCACAAACCCAAAAAGAGUUGCAGAGAAUUGUGAGUGUGAAGAAGCAGCCGGAGGCAAGGCAGGGAUGGGAGACAGACAUUCCCAAGCUGUCCUUGCAGCUGAAGUCCCCCUUUUGAUAACUAUAGCUGCCAGUGUACCUUUGGUCUGGCACAGAUAUCAAAGGGAAUUCCCCUGCACUGCCAGAAGUAGCACUUUAGGGAAAAACUGACACAUUGGUGGGUUAUAUAUUAACCAUUAUAGAGAGUGGCAGUGUGACAAGGCAGUGAGUUACUGAUAAAAAAAAAUAGCAACAUUUCCAUUAUGCAGAGCAUGGGUAAUAGCUCCUAGGAAAAAAUGACCUAGCUCUUUCCACUAAAUUAUACUGUUUUCAAUUCUUCCAUACUUUCUGAAAUGUGAAAUAUUGUUCAGAUGUUUUCAAUGCUAAAUAAAUGCCUCUGGCUGGUUUUUUGUGGGUUGCUGAGGGGAGAAGGCAGGAAAUGUUUUAGCUAAAAUUAAUGCAGUUACUUCCAAGGAAGUGUCAGAAGAGCAGCGUACAAGAUUUCAGGACUUACAGAAAAAAAUAAUCGUAGCAGUCAUUCAACACUAUGCUCAGUUUUUCUUCCCAAGGUCUGACCUUGCUCUGUGUUCAGCAUUAUCAGAGAUCUGCUGCAAUGAAGUUUAGGUUCUUAUGUCUCCUAGGACACAAAUUAAUUGCUUUAACUUAAGUUUAAAAGCAGAACCUUGCCAGAGAUGACAAAUGGGAGUAUUAUAUAUCACCAGUUAAAUGACUAAUGUUUAAUUUGUCUUUGAAGUUUCUGGUGAAAGCUGAAGCGUAAUGGUGAAAGAAAAAAUAAUUUAAGUUACAUAACACCUCACAUAUGGAAUUGAUAAUGCUCUGUUUUUAUAUGGAAUACAUUGCUCUUCAGUGGUUAUACACACACACACACACACACACACACAUCUAUAUAUAUAUAUAUAUAUAUAAUAAAAUGAAGAUUAUUCAUUUUAUUAUAUAUAUAUAUGUCAAAUGGAAUUGUGCUGUAGAUUUAUUCAAGAGAUUCAGGAGAUUUAAACUUUUUGACUGAACAUGAGAUUUUUUUUUAUAGAAUAUCCUUCUUUUGGUCAAUGUAUUCCACUACUUAAUGAAAAGAACUCUGUUCAUGUUUCAAGUCA